rnacentral:rRNA from 1 species
GGGCGACUGAACCGGGAAGAGCCCAGCGCAUAACCUCGUGUCGUUAACCCGGCACGAGGGGUGUUGCGUUUCGGAGGGUCCAGCACGCAGUGCCAUACCGUCUAAGUCAAGCUUGAAAGCGGCCACUACCCAUGGAGGGUGACAGGCCCGUGUGACGGCGCCCGCGAGGGUAAAGAUGGCACGGUCGGAAAGGGCCUCUCCGUAGAGUCGGGUUGCUUAAUAGUGCAGCCCAAAGCAGGUGGUAAACUCCAUCUAAGGCUAAAUAUGACCACGAGACCGAUAGCGAACAAGUACCGUGAGGGAAAGUUGAAAAGAACUUUGAAGAGAGAGUUCAAGAGUACGUGAAACCGUUAAGAGCCAAACGGAUGGAACCUCGAAGGUCGAACUGAGGGGAUUCAGCUCGUCGGCCGUCGGCUGGGUGCGAGUCUUCGUUAAGUCGGUGUGACCCGAGUAAUCUCGGGCGCGCUCGCACCCACGGUGGCGCCGGCGGGCGCAUUUCGCCUCGUAGUAGGGCGCCGCGACCCGUUGCUGCUAGGGAUGUCUAUGGCCCCGGUGGAUUGGUAACCUACCUUCGACGAGUGCAGCAGCCUCCUCCUGGUGGCUGCUUAGGCGCGAGGUAGGCGAAACCGCCGUUGGUGAUCCUGACUGCCCUGCGACGGUCGUAGAGACGAGUCCCUAUCCCCAUUCCUGGGGAAAGGGUUGCUCUCGCGGCGUGCAAAAAGAUCGGUGAUCCAUCCGACCCGUCUUGAAACACGGACCAAGGAGUCUAACAUGCGUGCGAGUCAGUGGGCGCACUAAACCCAAAGGCGUAAUGAAAGUGAAAACAACCGAGUCCGGCGGGAGCCGGAAGCAUCUCGGUUUGGGGCCGAUCCGUCGCUUCCUCCUCCUCCUUCUUCCGCCCCUCCACCGGCACCUGCCGGUGGGGGAUGAUGGGCUUUGGAGGAGCGCGGCGUAAGGCGCAGGCCCGGGACUUGCCAAGACGCCGCGAGGACCACACCGCCUUCUUCCGUCAGCGAGGUUGGAGAGAUUACAAUGAUGAUGACGCCGUCAUCCUCUCAAUAUAUAUCUCUCUCUUAGCCGAGCGGCGGUAGCGGGUGGGGGUGACGAUGAUGCGUGCAGUCGGCAAGUACCACGAGCAGACAUGUUGGUACCCGAAAGAUGGUGAACUAUGCCUGGCCAGGAUGAAGCCAGAGGAAACUCUGGUGGAGGUCCGUAGCGAUUCUGACGUGCAAAUCGAUCGUCUGAGCUGGGUAUAGGGGCGAAAGACUAAUCGAAUCAUCUAGUAGCUGGUUCCCUCUGAAGUUUCCCUCAGGAUAGCUGGAACUCGCAGGAUGAAUUUCGUCCGGUAAAGCGAAUGAUUAGAGGUGUUGGGGACGAAACGUCCUCAACCUAUUCUCAAACUUUAAAUGGGCGAGAUGCCGAGCUUUCUUGAACACUGGCUGAUGAAGCUCCGGCGAUGAUUAAUCUGAGUAUCUAGUGGGCCAUUUUUGGUAAGCAGAACUGGCGCUGUGGGAUGAACCAAACGUCGAGUUAAGGGGCCUAAAUGAAUGCUCAUUCAGAUCCCAUCGAAAGGCGUUGGUUGCUAUAGACAGCAGGACGGUGGCCAUGGAAGUUGGAAUCCGCUAAGGAGUGUGUAACAACUCACCUGCCGAAGCAACUAGCCCUUAAAAUGGUAUGGCGCUGAAGCAUUCUCCCGAUACUCGACCGCCGGGGCACUAGCGGCCACGCCCCAGAGGCGAGGUCUCGAAGCCCCGGUGAGUAAGAGGGUCGCAGUGGUGAGCGCUGAAGGGAUCCGGCGUGAGCCGGCCUGGAGCCGCCACUGGUGCAGAUCUUGGUGGUAGUAGCAAAUACUCGAGAGAGACUCCCUCGAAGACCGAUGUGGAGAAGGGUUCCAUGUGAACAUCAGUUGGACAUGGGUUAGUCGCUCCUAAGCCCAAGGCUAAGGCCUGAUCCCAUGCUAGCGGCAACGUUCGGCCAACGUGUAAGAAGGAGAAGCAUCAGCAUGAGGAGAAUAAUAAGUAGAAGAAGACUAGGGACAAUGAUGCAGCACCGUUCGGGUGCGGCGGCGGCGGUGGCGGCCUCCUCUGCCGCCAAUGCCGCCGCCGUCGCUUCUUCCGUCCGUCGAGUGCAUCUCUAGCUUCCUUC